UGGGGAAUUUUGGACAAUGGGGGCAACCCUGAUCCAGCCAUCCCGCGUGUGCGAUGAAGGCCUUCGGGUUGUAAAGCACUUUUGGCAGGAAAGAAACGGCCCUGGAUAAUACCUGGGGCAACUGACGGUACCUGCAGAAUAAGCACCGGCUAACUACGUGCCAGCAGCCGCGGUAAUACGUAGGGUGCAAGCGUUAAUCGGAAUUACUGGGCGUAAAGCGUGCGCAGGCGGUUCGGAAAGAAAGAUGUGAAAUCCCAGGGCUUAACCUUGGAACUGCAUUUUUAACUACCGGGCUAGAGUGUGUCAGAGGGAGGUGGAAUUCCGCGUGUAGCAGUGAAAUGCGUAGAUAUGCGGAGGAACACCGAUGGCGAAGGCAGCCUCCUGGGAUAACACUGACGCUCAUGCACGAAAGCGUGGGGAGCAAACA
rnacentral:rRNA from 1 species